rnacentral:lncRNA from 1 species
AUGUGGGAAAUUCACCUUCUCAUCCCUCCCCAUCACCACACCCAUAAUAACACAAAGAUAGAUUAGCCUCGCCAUAUCAACCCAAGUCCAGCUAUUUCUCUCUACCAAAUACUUCUUUUUUAUGAUCUGCAAGUUUAUGUUCUCAUAUGUCUUUAUUUGCGUGCUCCAAAAACCAUCAUCAUCUUUCCAUGUAUCUAACCCACUGUUCUUCUCUUGCUUCACUUUCAGACCAGUGACAACAUGAUACUCUUUCAAUCCAAAACGUAGAGGCCUCCUAGCAAAGGUGAACCACUUCUCAUGUCUCCUGCUUGUCAUACCAGCCUCACCGAAAACUUCAGAUUCUACUUCUUGAUAACCAUAAUAUGCGAGAAAAAGGGAUCUUUCACCACUUCCUCGAAUUCUGGCUUCAUUUUUUUCC